rnacentral:rRNA from 1 species
CAGUCCCGCGGUAAUACGGAGGGUGCAAGCGUUAAUCGGAAUUACUGGGCGUAAAGCGCACGCAGGCGGUCUGACAAGUCAGAUGUGAAAUCCCCGGGCUUAACCUGGGAACUGCAUUUGAAACUGUCAGGCUGGAGUCUUGUAGAGGGGGGUGGAAUUCCAGGUGUAGCGGUGAAAUGCGUAGAGAUCUGGAGGAAUACCGGUGGCGAAGGCGGCCCCCUGGACAAAGACUGACGCUCAGGUGCGAAAGCGUGGGGAGCAAACAGGAUUAGAUACCCGCGUAGUCCCUGUCUCUUAUACC